UNGCAGGCAAGAGACAGUUUUGCAACGA
rnacentral:piRNA from 1 species